rnacentral:lncRNA from 1 species
CUUGCCAUUUUCCACACGGAACUUGCUGCCAAUUUCCAUACAAUCAAACAGAUGUUCAAUGUAAUUUGGUAACGUGUCAUUCAUGUUGUCAGUUUCACCGAAUACACCACAAGCAUGACGCAUAAAGUUUCCUGAUAUCCACGUCGGUAUACUUCCAUAUUCUACCGUAACUUCUCCAUCAAUUAUCU